UCCUUGCUGCUGCUUCUUGCUUCUUGCAUCCAGAGUUGCUACUUCAGCUGCUUAUAUUGGUUAGGUGCCACCUAUGCCAGAGGCACAACCAGUGCUGCCUCUGCCAGAGGCACAACCGGUGCCGCCUCUAGCACCCCCUCCACCCCUUUUUUUAAAGAUUUUUUCAGCUUUUUUUAACAGAAAAUGACAGAAUGGUAUCAGAGGCCGGGUGGUCACGCCUCUGCCAGAGGUGACACUACUCUGAAUGUACCACUUUGGUGCAUAAUUUUUUUAUUGUAUUAUUUUAGCAUUUUUAUUUUUUUAUUUUAUUUUAGUAAAAAACCUCACUCCAUAUCCUCAAACUGUGUAUCAAUGGGGUCUGUGAUAAAACCCAUGUAAUGAUGAAGGUGGAUAUAAAAAAGGCUAUUUAUGCAUGAGAAGUAUACAUUUCCUAUUUACUAUUGGUAUAGAUAGAUUUUGAUAAGAUUAUGUUUGUGUUAAAUAAUCAUAUUUUCUGUCUAUGAUAGUGAUUUAAUUUAUUUG
rnacentral:lncRNA from 1 species